GACGAACGCUGGCGGCGUGCUUAACACAUGCAAGUCGAACGGAAAGGCCCUGCUUGCAGGGUACUCGAGUGGCGAACGGGUGAGUAACACGUGGGUGAUCUGCCCUGCACUUCGGGAUAAGCCUGGGAAACUGGGUCUAAUACCGGAUAGGAGCCAUUUUUAGUGUGAUGGUUGGAAAGUUUUUUCGGUGUAGGAUGAGCUCGCGGCCUAUCAGCUUGUUGGUGGGGUAAUGGCCUACCAAGGCGGCGACGGGUAGCCGGCCUGAGAGGGUGGACGGCCACAUUGGGACUGAGAUACGGCCCAGACUCCUACGGGAGGCAGCAGUGGGGAAUAUUGCACAAUGGGCGAAAGCCUGAUGCAGCGACGCCGCGUGGGGGAUGACGGCCUUCGGGUUGUAAACUCCUUUCGCUAGGGACGAAGCUUUUUGUGACGGUACCUAGAGAAGAAGCACCGGCUAACUACGUG
rnacentral:rRNA from 1 species